ensembl:snoRNA U8 U8 small nucleolar RNA
UCGUCAGUGAGGUAUAUCCUUACCUGUUACUUCAGAAAUGAAGUAUCAGAACGUGAUGAAUGGAGCUAAAUGAGUUGGUGAUUAACCGCUCUUGGUUUUAGGAGAACAGCAACACUUCUAAAACCCCAUUCUGAU